rnacentral:lncRNA from 1 species
CUGGUUGUCUGGUUCACUCAAAUCUAAUCUGAUUUGAGUCUAAUUUGAAGCAAAUGAAUCCAAACACCCAAUUAUCUGUGAAAUAGACUAGAGAGUAUCAAAUUCUUAAUAAAUAACAUCAGUUAUUCUAAUAUUUAAUGUCUCUAGUGAUCUAAUUUAAGUGUGCAUCAAAAGCCAUAGAAUAGAACAUUGCUUCACAUCGAUAGGCCACCCAUAGGCAAAUGGAGAGGUGGAAGUGACCAAUAGAACUCUCCUACAGGGCUUAAUGGCUAGGUU